rnacentral:rRNA from 1 species
UCGCAUUAGAACUCCGCAGUUAAGCGUGCUUGGGCGAGAGUAGUGCUAGGAUAGGUGACCUCCUGGGAAGUCCUCGUGUUGUACCCC